rnacentral:rRNA from 1 species
GAUGAACGCUGGCGGCGUGCCUAAUACAUGCAAGUCGAGCGAACAGACGAGGAGCUUGCUCCUCUGACGUUAGCGGCGGACGGGUGAGUAACACGUGGAUAACCUACCUAUAAGACUGGGAUAACUUCGGGAAACCGGAGCUAAUACCGGAUAAUAUAUUGAACCGCAUGGUUCAAUAGUGAAAGACGGUUUUGCUGUCACUUAUAGAUGGAUCCCCGCCGCUUUAGCUAGUUGGUAAGGUAACGGCUUACCAAGGCGACGAUGCGUAGCCGACCUGGGAGGGUGAUCGGCCAAACUGGAACUGAGACACGGUCCAGACUCCUACGGGACGCAGCAGUAGGGAAUCUUCCGCAAUGGGCGAAAGCCUGACGGAGCAACGCCGCGUGAGUGAUGAAGGUCUUCGGAUCGUAAAACUCUGUUAUUAGGGAGGAACAAAUGUGUAAGAAACUAUGCACGUCUUGACGGUACCUAAUCAGAAAGCCACGGCUAACUACGUG